rnacentral:rRNA from 1 species
UACAGAGGGUGCGAGCGUUGUUCGGAAUUAUUGGGCGUAAAGCGCUUGUAGGCGGCACGUCAAGUCGCGUGUGAAAUCCCCCAGGCUUAACCUGGGAAGUGCGCGCGAAACUGACGAGCUUGAGUGCCGGAGAGGGUCGCGGAAUUCCCGGUGUAGAGGUGAAAUUCGUAGAUAUCGGGAGGAACACCAGUGGCGAAGGCGGGUCUCUGGGCAGUAACUGACGCUGAGGAGCGAAAGCGUGGGUAGCAAACAGG